UGCGAACUCCUACGGGAGGCAGCAGUGAGGAAUAUUGGUCAAUGGUCGGGAGACUGAACCAGCCAAGCCGCGUGAGGGAGGAAGGUACAGAGUAUCGUAAACCUCUUUUGUCAGGGAACAAAGGCGGGGACGUGUCCCCGGAUGAGUGUACCUGAAGAAAAAGCAUCGGCUAACUCCGUGCCAGCAGCCGCGGUAAUACGGAGGAUGCGAGCGUUAUCCGGAUUUAUUGGGUUUAAAGGGUGCGCAGGCGGUCUGUUAAGUCAGCGGUCAAAGCCCGGGGCUCAACCCCGGCCCGCCGUUGAAACUGGCAGUCUCGAGUUGGAGAGAAGUAUGCGGAAUGCGCGGUGUAGCGGUGAGAUGCAUAGAUAUCGCGCAGAACUCCGAUUGCGAAGGCAGCAUGCCGGCUCCACACUGACGCUGAGGCACGAAAGCGUGGGUAUCGAACAGGAUUAGAAACCCUGGUAGUCCAGAUG
rnacentral:rRNA from 1 species